GAGCCAGACUCCUACGGGAGGCAGCAGUGGGGAAUAUUGCACAAUGGGGGGAACCCUGAUGCAGCGACGCCGCGUGGGUGAAGGAGCCCCUCGGUGCGUAAAGCCCUAUCGGCAGGGAAGAAAAGCGAACAGGUUCGCCUGGACGGUACCUGACUAAGAAGCCCCGGCUCACUACGUGCCAGCAGCCGCGGGAAUACGUAGGGGGCAAGCGUUGUCCGGAUUUACUGGGUGUAAAGGGCGUGCAGCCGGAGAGACAAGUCAGAUGUGAAAUCCACGGGCUCAACCCGUGAACUGCAUUUGAAACUGUUUCCCUUGAGUGUCGGAGAGGUAAUCGGAAUUCCUUGUGUAGCGGUGAAAUGCGUAGAUAUAAGGAAGAACACCAGUGGCGAAGGCGGAUUACUGGACGAUAACUGACGGUGAGGCGCGAAAGCGUGGGGAGCAAACAGGAUUAGAUACCCGAGUA
rnacentral:rRNA from 1 species